ensembl:lncRNA
CUACAGUCUGUGCUUCAAUAAGAAAAUGGGCAAAGAAAAACGUUUCCUUUAAGUAUUGUAUGUCUCGCUUGAUCAGUCAGGAGUUUACACUGUGGACAGAUAUACCUAUCUGUACUCAGAGGAUGCAAACUCAGGAUGUGUCCCAUCUAUUUCCCUACCACAGUCUCAGCAUUCUCUGCUUCAGAUUCCUCCAUUCCUCAGGCACCACCCUGAUUCAUAAUCUCAGGAAAGGAGAUAAUAAUGAUCUUGCAGACCUGCAUGAUGACUGACUUUGCUGUGGAUUUUCCAGCCCAAUUGAUUGCCCACCUUCUGAGCAAUUGAACACCUUCGUAUCCACAAAGUAAAUGUAUGCAGACAUUACAGAGAAGAGUACAUUGACAGAGAAAGGUGCACAAAAGCUGGGCAGAUAAUCAAAAGCAGAGACAAUAGGCAGAACCUGGACAGAACUUGCUUAGGGUUUACAUAAAGAGCGUUUUCUGUUUUUCUGUGUAAAAUUCAA